GAUGAACGCUGGCGGCGUGCCUAAUACAUGCAAGUCGAGCGAACGGACGAGAAGCUUGCUUCUCUGAUGUUAGCGGCGGACGGGUGAGUAACACGUGGAUAACCUACCUAUAAGACUGGGAUAACUUCGGGAAACCGGAGCUAAUACCGGAUGAUAUUUUGAAACGCAUGGUUCAAAAGUGAAAGACGGUCUUGCUGUCACUUAUAGAUGGAUCCGCGCUGCAUUAGCUAGUUGGUAAGGUAACGGCUUACCAAGGCAACGAUGCAUAGCCGACCUGAGAGGGUGAUCGGCCACACUGGAACUGAGACACGGUCCAGACUCCUACGGGAGGCAGCAGUAGGGAAUCUUCCGCAAUGGGCGAAAGCCUGACGGAGCAACGCCGCGUGAGUGAUGAAGGUCUUCGGAUCGUAAAACUCUGUUAUUAGGGAAGAACAUAUGUGUAAGUAACUGUGAACAUCUUGACGGUACCUAAUCAGAAAGCCACGGCUAACUACGUG
rnacentral:rRNA from 1 species